CGCGCCGGAAGAAGGCUGCUGCAGCAGCAGAGUACAGCACACGGGACCGAAAUGGCGUAGCGCGCAGUCCUCCUCCGCAGCAGCGCAGCGGGGCCAGGCUCAUCGAACAUCUCAGAGCCUGGCCCGUCCUACUCAACCGACGAGUAUGAUGGAGGUGACUUUUAGUUCCAGUUCACUCGCUUCGAAACCAGCACGAGAUCGCCAGAGACGUGCCCUUCAUAUGUCAUAUCAAGAAGAGAAAGAAACAGUCACGAAAGGAGCUCAUGACCAGAUGAGACCGUCAUGUCUUUGUUCUUCAAACUGCUCUCCAUCCCGAUAAGUUGACUUUCCUCCAGCAUUGUUUCAGGGAAAUGUUUGUUCAUUGGUCUAUGAACAUAUCAUCUCUGCACUUGGAGACGACAACUGAAGUUGUUUUUAUCCAUGAAAGAACCAUAAGCUCUUCAUGUGUCCAAAAAAAGUAACACAAUUGUGCCACAGUACAGAGCCAUCUUCUGGUCAUAUUUGUUAUAAAUAAUGUCCAGUGUAGUAUUUAUAUGAUUGCAGGUUGUGUUAAAAGUGAAAAUGGAAAUAGUGGAAGCGCACUUGCUUUGCAGGUAAAACAAAUGCACAUUUCAAAACUAAAUCAUGCAAGCAAGAUGAAGUAGCUUCAUCCAACAGUUUUAUUAUCUGCAGAUUAAGUGCCUAGACAUGUCUUUUUUUUUUUUUUAAAGCUUCCAUCUACCGAUUGUCUAUUUCCAUUGCUUAGCUUUAAACCUACU